UACGUAGGUGACAAGCGUUAUCCGGAUUUACUGGGCGUAAAGCGUGUUCAGGCGGUCUAGCAAGUCGGGCAUGAAAUCUCUCGGCUCAACCGGGAGGGGUUGUCCGAUACUGCUGGGCUUGAGGGCAGCAGAGGGUGGUGGAAUUCCGGGUGUAGUGGUGAAAUGCGUAGAUAUCGGGAGGAACACCAGUGGCGAAGGCGACUACCUGGCCUGUUCUUGACGCUGAGGCGCGAAAGCUAGGGGAGCAGACGGGG
rnacentral:rRNA from 1 species